rnacentral:rRNA from 1 species
GACGAACGCUGGCGGCGUGCCUAAUACAUGCAAGUCGAGCGGAUGACGGAGGAGCUUGCUCCUCCUGAUUCAGCGGCGGACGGGUGAGUAACACGUGGGCAACCUGCCCUGUAGAUUGGGAUAACUCCGGGGAACCGGGGCUAAUACCGAAUAAUCCUUCGGACCUCAUGGUCCGAUGUUGAAAGACGGUUUCGGCUGUCACUACAGGAUGGGCCCGCGGCGCAUUAGCUAGUUGGUGGGGUAACGGCUCACCAAGGCCACGAUGCGUAGCCGAGCUGAGAGGGUGAUCGGCCACACUGGGACUGAGACACGGCCCAGACUCCUACGGGAGGCAGCAGUAGGGAAUCUUCCACAAUGGACGAAAGUCUGAUGGAGCAACGCCGCGUGAGUGAAGAAGGUUCUCGGAUCGUAAAACUCUGUUGUGAGGGAAGAACAAGUACCGGAGUAACUGCCGGUGCCUUGACGGUACCUCAUUAGAAAGCCACGGCUAACUACGUGCCAGCCGCCGCCGUAACAC